rnacentral:rRNA from 1 species
CCCCUUCUCCCAUUUUUUUUAAUUUUUUGUUUUUAGAGUUUUUGGGCCCCUGCUCAGAUUGAACGCUGGCGGCAGGCCUAACACAUGCAAGUCGAGCGGCAGCACGGGUACUUGUACCUGGUGGCGAGCGGCGGACGGGUGAGUAAUGCCUAGGAAUCUGCCUGGUAGUGGGGGAUAACGCUCGGAAACGGACGCUAAUACCGCAUACGUCCUACGGGAGAAAGCAGGGGACCUUCGGGCCUUGCGCUAUCAGAUGAGCCUAGGUCGGAUUAGCUAGUUGGUGAGGUAAUGGCUCACCAAGGCGACGAUCCGUAACUGGUCUGAGAGGAUGAUCAGUCACACUGGAACUGAGACACGGUCCAGACUCCUACGGGAGGCAGCAGUGGGGAAUAUUGGACAAUGGGCGAAAGCCUGAUCCAGCCAUGCCGCGUGUGUGAAGAAGGUCUUCGGAUUGUAAAGCACUUUAAGUUGGGAGGAAGGGCAGUUACCUAAUACGUAUCUGUUUUGACGUUACCGACAGAAUAAGCACCGGCUAACUCUGUGCCAGCAGCCGCGGUAAUACAGAGGGUGCAAGCGUUAAUCGGAAUUACUGGGCGUAAAGCGCGCGUAGGUGGUUUGUUAAGUUGGAUGUGAAAUCCCCGGGCUCAACCUGGGAACUGCAUUCAAAACUGACAAGCUAGAGUAUGGUAGAGGGUGGUGGAAUUUCCUGUGUAGCGGUGAAAUGCGUAGAUAUAGGAAGGAACACCAGUGGCGAAGGCGACCACCUGGACUGAUACUGACACUGAGGUGCGAAAGCGUGGGGAGCAAACAGGAUUAGAUACCCUGGUAGUCCACGCCGUAAACGAUGUCAACUAGCCGUUGGGAGCCUUGAGCUCUUAGUGGCGCAGCUAACGCAUUAAGUGACCGCCUGGGAGUCGCCCCCCG